UGUAAAUGGGGCAGUAUUGGGGGGCUAUUGAGCCCUAUGGUUAGGAUCCGUCAGUGGUCUCUGUUUCUUGAUCUGCAGAUGGCACAGAGGGUUAUACAAUAUCACCAAGAUGAAGGCCAAGCAACGGAUAUGAUAAUGAUUCAAUCAUAGCUACUUUCCUUGUUGAUAUGUGUGAAGUGCGUUGAAUCCAGAGACAAUGGUACUAUAUAGCUGGCAGGGUCU